GCCGCGGUAAUUCCAGCUUCAGCAGCAUCUAUUAAAGUUGCUGCGGUUAAAAGGCUCGCAGUUGAAUGUCUGUAUCGAGCGCAGGUCAGGUGGACGUUGGGGCGUGGAAGUACGGGCAGUUGGAUGUCCGGAGGGCCUUCGUGCUCAAUGGCUCCUUCGGCUUUUCCACACACCCCCGUCCGUGACAAGCCUCCUCGCUCGGGUACAUAACGGGAAUCGGUCAAACGGAGUGUGGUCGGGGGUCGUGGUGCGUGGCUUCGGUUGCGUGCUGCUUCUUUCGGCUGCGUUAAGCUCCAUCGGUUUCACGGUCACCUUGAGUAAAUCAGAGUGCUCAAAGCAGUCGUAGGGGCCUUGCGCCCUGUGAACAGUCUUGACGGACUGACUUGGUUUUGCAUGGCAUGUCGGAAGACGACGUCGUGUGCUGGCUCAGAGGAUAAAUCAGUGGUACAAGCCAGCCUCGACGUAAUGAUUAAAAGGGACGGUCGAGGGCAUUGGUAUUGCGAGGCGAGAGGUGAAAUUCUGUGACCCCCGCAAGACCUCCUGAAGCGAAAGCGUCUGCCAAGGACGUUUUCAUUAAUCAUGAACGAAAGUUAGAGGAUCGAAGGCGAUCAGAUACCGCCCUAGUUCUAACCCUAAACGAUGCCAACCAUCAAUCCGCGCGUAGCACCCUUCUUAACGGGCUCGGCGGGCAGCUCCCCACUCACGGGAAACCAGAGCCUCUGGGUUCCGGGGGGAGUCUGGUUGCAAAGCUGAAACUUAAAGGAAUUGACGGAAAGGCACCACCAGGCGUGGAGCCUGCGGCUUAAUUUGACCCAACACGGGCCAUCUCACCAGGCCAGCACUCUUGUACGAUUGACAGAUUGAGAGCUCUUUCUCGAUUCAGUGGAUGGUGGUGCAUGGCCGUUCUUAGUUGGUGGAGUGAUCUGUCUGGUUAAUUCCGAUAACGAACGAGACUCUCCCCUGCUAACUAGUCGGUUGGAUCUUGAUCAGCGGGUUGCGUGCCGAGUAACUCUCGCUGCGCGGGUGGUGCGUCUCGGGCUUCGGUUCGUUGCGUGCUCUCGUGUGGUGUUGGAUGCCUUGGAUCACACUGCACCCCAAGUCCGCCGCUUAUGCUAUAACUCUUCUUAGAGGGAUUCACGGCACUGAAGCCGUAAGAGACUGAGAGCAAUAACAGGUCUGUGAUGCCCUUAGAUGCUCUGGGCCGCACGCGCGCUACAAUGCCGGGCACAGCAGGUGUUUCUCCUGCUCCGACAGGAGCGGGUAACCCUCUGAAAGCCAGUGUUCUUGCAAGUGAUUCCUCCCUCGUGGAGUUUCACAGAGGCGUGCUUGGGCCUGGGACUUGCAAUUCUUUCCCACCAACGAGGAAUGCCUAGUAGCGGCGGGUCACUGAGCCCGCUGUGACUCAGUCCCUGCCCUUUGUACACACCGCCCGUCGCUACUACCGAUUGGGUGUACCAGUGAGAGCCUUGGACUGGCGUCCGUUGUUGCUCGCAAGAGUGACAAGCGGGUCCGACGGAAAGAGGUCCGAACUGGUGCACUUAGAGGAAGUAAAAGUCGUAACAAGGUUUCCGUAGGUGAACCUGCGGAAG
rnacentral:rRNA from 1 species